CCUACGGGAGGCUGCAGUGGGGAAUAUUGGACAAUGGGCGAAAGCCUGAUCCAGCCAUGCCGCGUGUGUGAAGAAGGCCUUCGGGUUGUAAAGCACUUUCAGUGGGGAAGAAAGCCUUGGGGCUAAUACCCUCGAGGAAGGACAUCACCCACAGAAGAAGCACCGGCUAACUCCGUGCCAGCAGCCGCGGUAAUACGGAGGGUGCGAGCGUUAAUCGGAAUUACUGGGCGUAAAGCGCGCGUAGGCGGUCUGAUAAGCCGGUUGUGAAAGCCCCGGGCUCAGCCUGGGAACGGCAUCCGGAACUGUCAGGCUAGAGUGCAGGAGAGGAAGGUAGAAUUCCCGGUGUAGCGGUGAAAUGCGUAGAGAUCGGGAGGAAUACCAGUGGCGAAGGCGGCCUUCUGGACUGACACUGACGCUGAGGUGCGAAAGCGUGGGUAGCAAACAGGAUUAGAUACCCUAGUAGUC
rnacentral:rRNA from 1 species